ACACGUCUACAUUAGAUACCCGCGUAGUCCCAGCCGUAAACUAUGCGCGUUAGGUGUAUCGGUGACCACGAGUUACCGAGGUGCCGAAGGGAAACCGUGAAACGUGCCGCCUGGGAAGUACGGUCGCAAGGCUGAAACUUAAAGGAAUUGGCGGGGAGCACCACAACAGGUGGAGCCUGCGGUUUAAUUGGACUCAACGCCGGGAAGCUCACCGGAUAAGACAGCGGAAUGAUUGCCGGGCUGAAGACUCUGCAUGACUAGCUG
rnacentral:rRNA from 1 species